UCCCUGGUGGUCCAGUGGUUAAGAUUCUGCAUUGCCAAUGCUAGUGGUGCAGGUUCGAUCCCUGGUCGGGGAA
rnacentral:tRNA from 1 species